GUGAAUACCCAUUCGUCGAUCUAUCAUACAAGAGCCAUCGGUGACCAACAGUGUUGGAAACAUAUCAAAUCCAUCAGCCAAACACAGUUAUGGGAAAAUGCAGAUUGAAGAAGCUGCAAAGUACUGACCAGAAUCAACGGGGGCAACACGACCUAUAGCUGCUUCGCCGAAAUCUGGAUCCAAAACCUCUUCGAACUUGUCCUCUUCGAGAGUAUAACAUCAGGAAUGAGCAUCAAUACCUGCAAUUGCAGCGUGUGAAGAAGGAAAUUUCGAACAAUUUCGCUUUCUCCCUUCAGCAGAAAAG